rnacentral:rRNA from 1 species
CCUACGGGAGGCAGCAGUGGGGAAUAUUGCACAAUGGGGGAAACCCUGAUGCAGCGACGCCGCGUGAGUGAAGAAGUAUUUCGGUACGUAAAGCUCUAUCAGCAGGGAAGAAAAUGACGGUACCUGACUAAGAAGCCCCGGCUAACUACGUGCCAGCAGCCGCGGUAAUACGUAGGGGGCAAGCGUUAUCCGGAUUUACUGGGUGUAAAGGGGGCGCAGACGGCAAUGCAAGCCAGGAGUGAAAGCCCGGGGCCCAACCCCGGGACUGCUCUUGGAACUGCAGGGCUGGAGUACAGGAGGGGCAGGAGGAAGUGCGAGGUGAGCGGUGAAAGGCG